AUUUUUACUUAUAAAAAGAUAAAACCUAUUUUCUAUUUAUCAUAUGCAAAAGAGAGAGAAAAAUGACUAAAGCUCUCAAGUUUUUUUGUGCUUUAUUCAUCAUUCUUUCUCUAAUUAUUCUUGUAACCAGUGAUAAGAAAUUGUUCUGCUACAAGCUUGAAGAUUGUGAUCCCAAUUUUAAAUGUCGUGAAGGUUAUGUCAUGAAGUGCCAUAUUUUUCGAUGUAAUUGUGAGCCAAAGGAAGAAUAAAUUGAAAAAAUAAUUGUAUGUUAUUUCUAAACGUAUAAUUCCCUGUCAAUAAUGAUGUGGGUAUUUAAAGAAUAAAUUUAAUAAAUACUAAUGUAUUUCCCCAAUUUUGUUUGGAUUAAACAUA